GAGUUUGAUCCUGGCUCAGGACGAACGCUGGCGGCGUGCCUAAUACAUGCAAGUCGAGCGGAACCAUUGGAGCUUGCUCCAUUUGGUUUAGCGGCGGACGGGUGAGUAACACGUGGGCAACCUGCCCUGCAGAUCGGGAUAACUCCGGGAAACCGGUGCUAAUACCGAAUAGUUUGCGGCCUCUCCUGAGGCUGCACGGAAAGACGGUUUCGGCUGUCACUGCAGGAUGGGCCCGCGGCGCAUUAGCUAGUUGGUGGGGUAAUGGCCCACCAAGGCGACGAUGCGUAGCCGACCUGAGAGGGUGAUCGGCCACACUGGGACUGAGACACGGCCCAGACUCCUACGGGACGCAGCAGA
rnacentral:rRNA from 1 species